rnacentral:rRNA from 1 species
CCCCCCACACUGGUACUGAGACACGGACCAGACUUCUACGGGAAGGCAGCAGUGAGGAAUAUUGGUCAAUGGAGGAAACUCUGAACCCAGCUACGCCGUGUGCAGGAUGACGGUCUUUUAGGUUGUAAACUGCUUUUGUAUAGAAAUAAAGCUCCUACGAGAUAGGAGUUUGAAGGUACUAUGCGAAUAAGUGUCGGCUAAUUCCGUGCCAGCAGCCGCGGCAAUACGGAUGACACAAGCGUUAUUCGGAUUUAUUGGGUUUAAAGGGUGUGUAGGCUGUUUAUUAAGUCAGUAGUGAAAGCUUACAGCUUAACUGUAAAAUUGCUAUUGAUACUGGUAAACUUGAGUAAGAUUGGAGCAUCUGGAAUGUAUGGUGUAGCGGUGAAAUGCAUAGAUAUCAUACAGAACACCGAUAGCGAAGGCAGGUUGCUAAAUCUUUACUGACGCUGAGGCACGAAAGCGUGGGUAGCAAACAGGAUUAGAUACCCUGGUAGUCCACGCCCUAAACGAUGAUCACUAGCUAUUGGAAAAACGAUAUUCAGUGGCUUAGCGAAAGCGAUAAGUGAUCCACCUGGGAAGUACAGUCGCAAGAUUGAAACUCAAAGGAAUUGACGGGGGUUCGCACAAGCGGUGGAGCAUGUGGUUUAAUUCGAUGAUACGCGAGGAACCUUACCAAGGCUUAAAUGUAUUACGAAUAAGCUGGAAACAGUUUAGUCUGUACGACGUAUUACAAGGUGCUGCAUGGUUGUCUUCAGUUCGUGCUGUGAAGUGUUUGGUUAAGUCCUAUAACGAGCGCAACCCCUAUUGUUAGUUGCCAUCGGGUAAAGCCGGGGACUCUAACAAAACUGCCGGUGUAAACUGUGAGGAAGGUGGGGAUG